rnacentral:tRNA from 1 species
GGACAGGUGGCCGAGUGGUUAAUGGCAGCAGACUGUAAAUCUGCCCUCUCACGAGUACGUAGGUUCGAAUCCUACCCUGUCCACCA